GAUGAACGCUGGCGGCGUGCCUAAUACAUGCAAGUCGAGCGAACAGACGAGGCGCUUGCUCCUCUGACGUUAGCGGCGGACGGGUGAGUAACACGUGGAUAACCUACCUAUAAGACUGGGAUAACUUCGGGAAACCGGAGCUAAUACCGGAUAAUAUAUUGAACCGCAUGGUUCAAUAGUGAAAGACGGUUUUGCUGUCACUUAUAGAUGGAUCCGCGCCGCAUUAGAUAGUUGGUAAGGUAACGGCUUACCAAGGCAACGAUGCGUAGCCGACCUGAGAGGGUGAUCGGCCACACUGGAACUGAGACACGGUCCAGACUCCUACGGGAGGCAGCAGUAGGGAAUCGUCCGCAAUGGGCGAAAGCUUGACGGAGCAACGCCGCGUGAGUGAUGAAGGUCUUCGGAUCGUAAAACUCUGUUAUUAGGGAAGAACAAAUGUGUAAGUAACUAUGCACGUCUUGACGGUACCUAAUCAGAAAGCCACGGCUAACUACGUG
rnacentral:rRNA from 1 species